rnacentral:rRNA from 1 species
CAGCACCUCAAGUGGUCAGGAUGAUUAUUGGGCCUAAAGCAUCCGUAGCCGGCUCUGUAAGUUUUCGGUUAAAUCUGUACGCUCAACGUACAGGCUGCCGGGAAUACUGCAGAGCUAGGGAAUGGGAGAGGUAGACGGUACUCGGUAGGAAGGGGUAAAAUCCUUUGAUCUAUUGAUGACCACCUGUGGCGAAGGCGGUCUACCAGAACACGUUCGACGGUGAGGGAUGAAAGCUGGGGGAGCAAACCGGAUUAGAUACCCGAGUAGUCC